UACGUAGGGUGCGAGCGUUGUCCGGAAUUAUUGGGCGUAAAGAGCUCGUAGGUGGUUUGUCGCGUCGGCCGUGAAAACUUGGGGCUUAACUCCAAGCUUGCGGUCGAUACGGGCAGACUUGAGUUCGGCAGGGGAGACUGGAAUUCCUGGUGUAGCGGUGAAAUGCGCAGAUAUCAGGAGGAACACCGGUGGCGAAGGCGGGUCUCUGGGCCGAUACUGACGCUGAGGAGCGAAAGCGUGGGGAGCGAACAGG
rnacentral:rRNA from 1 species